rnacentral:rRNA from 1 species
ACACGUAGGGGGCGAGCGUUGUCCGGAAUUACUGGGCGUAAAGGGCGCGUAGGCGGCCGCUUAAGUCAGAUGUGAAAUCCCAAGGCUUAACCUUGGAGUGGCAUUUGAAACUGGGUGGCUUGAGGGCAGGAGAGGAAAGCGGAAUUCCCAGUGUAGCGGUGAAAUGCGUAGAUAUUGGGAAGAACACCGGUGGCGAAGGCGGCUUUCUGGACUGAUCCUGACGCUGAGGCGCGAAAGCCAGGGGAGCGAACGGGAUUAGAUACCCCGGUAGUCCUGGCCGUAAACGAUGGAUACUAGGUGUGGGAGGUAUCGACCCCUUCCGUGCCGCAGCCAACGCAAUAAGUAUCCCGCCUGGGGAGUACGGCCGCAAGGCUGAA